AACGAACGCUGGCGGCAUGCCUAACACAUGCAAGUCGAACGGGAUCCUAGCUUGCUAGGUGAGAGUGGCGGACGGGUGAGUAACACGUGGGAAUCUGCCCUUUGGUCCGGGAUAACCGCGGGAAACUGCGGCUAAUACCGGAUGCCCUCGCGAGAGGAAAGAUUUAUCGCCAGAGGAGGAGCCCGCGUCCGAUUAGGUAGUUGGUGGGGUAAAGGCCUACCAAGCCGACGAUCGGUAGCUGGUCUGAGAGGAUGAUCAGCCACACUGGGACUGAGAUACGGCCCAGACUCCUACGGGAGGCAGCAGUGGGGAAUAUUGGACAAUGGGGGCAACCCUGAUCCAGCAAUGCCGCGUGAGUGAUGAAGGCCUUAGGGUUGUAAAGCUCUUUUGCCAGGGAAGAUGAUGACUGUACCUGGAGAAUAAGCCCCGGCUAACUUCGUGCCAGCAGCCGCCGUAACAC
rnacentral:rRNA from 1 species